rnacentral:rRNA from 1 species
UAACACAUGCAAGUCGAAUGGUAACAGGAAACAGCUUGCUGUUUCGCUGACGAGUGGCGGACGGGUGAGUAAUGUCUGGGAAACUGCCUGAUGGAGGGGGAUAACUACUGGAAACGGUAGCUAAUACCGCAUAACGUCGCAAGACCAAAGAGGGGGACCUUCGGGCCUCUUGCCAUCAGAUGUGCCCAGAUGGGAUUAGCUAGUAGGUGGGGUAACGGCUCACCUAGGCGACGAUCCCUAGCUGGUCUGAGAGGAUGACCAGCCACACUGGAACUGAGACACGGUCCAGACUCCUACGGGAGGCAGCAGUGGGGAAUAUUGCACAAUGGGCGCAAGCCUGAUGCAGCCAUGCCGCGUGUAUGAAGAAGGCCUUCGGGUUGUAAAGUACUUUCAGCGGGGAGGAAGGGAGUAAAGUUAAUACCUUUGCUCAUUGACGUUACCCGCAGAAGAAGCACCGGCUAACUCCGUGCCAGCAGCCGCGGUAAUACGGAGGGUGCAAGCGUUAAUCGGAAUUACUGGGCGUAAAGCGCACGCAGGCGGUUUGUUAAGUCAGAUGUGAAAUCCCCGGGCUCAACCUGGGAACUGCAUCUGAUACUGGCAAGCUUGAGUCUCGUAGAGGGGGGUAGAAUUCCAGGUGUAGCGGUGAAAUGCGUAGAGAUCUGGAGGAAUACCGGUGGCGAAGGCGGCCCCCUGGACGAAGACUGACGCUCAGGUGCGAAAGCGUGGGGAGCAAAC